rnacentral:pre_miRNA from 1 species
UGAUUAUAAUAAAAGCAUAAAUGAAAAGUUUAUGCUUUUGCUAUAUUCAGG